UACGGAGGGUGCAAGCGUUACUCGGAAUUACUGGGCGUAAAGCGCACGCAGGUGGCUGAGUCAGUCGAUUGUGAAAGCCCUGGGCUUAACCUGGGAAUUGCAGUCGAUACUACUCAGCUAGAGUAUGGGAGAGGGUAGUGGAAUUCCCGGUGUAGCAGUGAAAUGCGUAGAGAUGCGGAGGAACACCGAUGGCGAAGGCAGCCCCCUGGGCUAGCACUGACGCUCAGGCACGAAAGCGUGGGGAGCAAACAGG
rnacentral:rRNA from 1 species